rnacentral:rRNA from 1 species
GUGGGGAAUAUUGGACAAUGGGCGAAAGCCUGAUCCAGCAAUGCCGCGUGAGUGAUGAAGGCCUUAGGGUUGUAAAGCUCUUUUACCAGGGAUGAUAAUGACAGUACCUGGAGAAUAAGCUCCGGCUAACUCCGUGCCAGCAGCCGCGGUAAUACGGAGGGAGCUAGCGUUGUUCGGAAUUACUGGGCGUAAAGCGCGCGUAGGCGGCUCAGCAAGUCAGGGGUGAAAUCCCGGGGCUCAACCCCGGAACUGCCUUUGAAACUGCUAGGCUAGAAUCCUGGAGAGGCGAGUGGAAUUCCGAGUGUAGAGGUGAAAUUCGUAGAUAUUCGGAAGAACACCAGUGGCGAAGGCGACUCGCUGGACAGGUAUUGACGCUGAGGUGCGAAAGCGUGGGGAGCAAACAGGAUUAGAUACCCCUGUAGUCC